AUUGAACGCUGGCGGCAGGCCUAACACAUGCAAGUCGAGCGGAUGAAGGGAGCUUGCUCCUGGAUUCAGCGGCGGACGGGUGAGUAAUGCCUAGGAAUCUGCCUGGUAGUGGGGGAUAACGUCCGGAAACGGGCGCUAAUACCGCAUACGUCCUGAGGGAGAAAGUGGGGGAUCUUCGGACCUCACGCUGUCAGAUGAGCCUAGGUCGGAUUAGCUAGUUGGUGGGGUAAAGGCCUACCAAGGCGAAGAUCCGUAACUGGUCUGAGAGGAUGAUCAGUCACACUGGAACUGAGACACGGUCCAGACCCCUACGGGAGGCAGCAGUGGGGAAUAUUAGACAAUGGGCGAAAGCCUGAUCCAGCCAUGCCGCGUGUGUGAAGAAGGUCUUCGGAUUGUAAAGCACUUUAAGUUGGGAGGAAGGGCAGUAAGUUAAUACCUUGCUGUUUUGACGUUACCAACAGAAUAAGCACCGGCUAACUUCGUG
rnacentral:rRNA from 1 species